rnacentral:rRNA from 1 species
GCGCCUCGUGAAUUCAUCUCCGGGGGUAGAGCACUGUUUCGGCAAGGGGGUCAUCCCGACUUACCAACCCGAUGCAAACUGCGAAUACCGGAGAAUGUUAUCACGGGAGACACACGGCGGGUGCUAACGUCCGUCGUGAAGAGGGAAACAACCCAGACCGCCAGCUAAGGUCCCAAAGUCAUGGUUAAGUGGGAAACGAUGUGGGAAGGCCCAGACAGCCAGGAUGUUGGCUUAGAAGCAGCCAUCAUUUAAAGAAAGCGUAAUAGCUCACUGGUCGAGUCGGCCUGCGCGGAAGAUGUAACGGGGCUAAACCAUGCACCGAAGCUGCGGCAGCGACGCUUAUGCGUUGUUGGGUAGGGGAGCGUUCUGUAAGCCUGUGAAGGUGUGCUGUGAGGCAUGCUGGAGGUAUCAGAAGUGCGAAUGCUGACAUAAGUAACGAUAAAGCGGGUGAAAAGCCCGCUCGCCGGAAGACCAAGGGUUCCUGUCCAACGUUAAUCGGGGCAGGGUGAGUCGACCCCUAAGGCGAGGCCGAAAGGCGUAGUCGAUGGGAAACAGGUUAAUAUUCCUGUACUUGGUGUUACUGCGAAGGGGGGACGGAGAAGGCUAUGUUGGCCGGGCGACGGUUGUCCCGGUUUAAGCGUGUAGGCUGGU